UACGGAGGAUGCAAGCGUUAUCCGGAAUGAUUGGGCGUAAAGCGUCCGCAGGUGGCUGUGUAAGUCUGCUGUUAAAUAGUGAGGCUCAACCUCAUAAAGGCAGUGGAAACUACACGGCUAGAGUGCGUUCGGGGCAGAGGGAACUCCUGGUGUAGCGGUGAAAUGCGUAGAGAUCAGGAAGAACACCGGUGGCGAAAGCGCUCUGCUAGGCCGCAACUGACACUGAGGGACGAAAGCUAGGGGAGCGAAUGGG
rnacentral:rRNA from 1 species